rnacentral:rRNA from 1 species
UACGUAGGGUGCAAGCGUUGUCCGGAAUUAUUGGGCGUAAAGAGCUCGUAGGCGGUUUGUCGCGUCGGCUGUGAAAACCCGAGGCUCAACCUCGGGCCUGCAGUCGAUACGGGCAAACUAGAGUGCGGUAGGGGAGACUGGAAUUCCUGGUGUAGCGGUGAAAUGCGUAGAUAUCAAGUGGAACACCAGUGGCGAAGGCGAGUCUCCGGACAUUUCCUGAUGCUGAGGCACGAAAGCCAGGGGAGCAAACGGG